GUGGGGAAUCUUCCACAAUGGACGAAAGUCUGAUGGAGCAACGCCGCGUGAGUGAAGAAGGGUUUCGGCUCGUAAAGCUCUGUUGUCGGGGACGAAUGUGCAGUAUUUGAAUAAAGUACUGCAAUGACGGUACCUGACGAGGAAGCCACGGCUAACUACGUGCCAGCAGCCGCGGUAAUACGUAGGUGGCAAGCGUUGUCCGGAAUUAUUGGGCGUAAAGGGAGCGCAGGCGGGAAGGUAAGUCGGUCUUAAAAGUGCGGGGCUCAACCCCGGAUUGCGAUGGAAACUGGGUUUCUUGAGUGCAGGAGAGGAAAGGGGAAUUCCCAGUGUAGCGGUGAAAUGCGUAGAUAUUGGGAGGAACACCAGUGGCGAAGGCGCCUUUCUGGACUGUGUCUGACGCUGAGAUGCGAAAGCCAGGGUAGCGAACGGGAUUAGAAACCCGUGUAGUCC
rnacentral:rRNA from 1 species